AGGAUAAACGCUGGCGGCGUGCCUAACACAUGCAAGUCGAACGUCUCUUCUUUCGGGAAGAGGAGUGGCGGACGGGUGAGGAACACGUGGGAACCUGCCCUUCAGUGAGGAAUACCGGCGAGAAAUCGCCGACAAGACCGCAUAGCCCUCUCUGGUGAGAGCCAGAGAAGGAAAGCCUCGCAAGAGGCGCUGGAGGAGGGGCCUGCGUCCGAUUAGCUAGUUGGUGGGGUAAGAGCCUACCAAGGCGUCGAUCGGUAGCUGGUCUGAGAGGACGAUCAGCCACACUGGGGAUUGAGAACGGCCCAGACUCCUACGGGGGGCAGCAGUGAGGAAUUUUCGGCAAUGGGGGAAACCCUGACCGAGCAACGCCGCGUGCAGGAAGACGGCCUUCGGGUUGUAAACUGCUUUUCUCUGGGACGAGAGCGGACGGUACCAGAGGAAGAACGCCCGGCUAACUACGUGCCAGCAGCCGC
rnacentral:rRNA from 1 species